rnacentral:lncRNA from 1 species
UAUAAGGCUCAAAUUCUCACAAAGGACAUUGAUCAACCACAAAUGAUGCACAAUUUAUAAUUUAGUCAUACUUAUCAUACUAAGAAAGCAAAUAAAGUCACUCACAUCACAUCACAAGUCUUUCUUCAAGAGAACAAAAAAUUACUCACACUUGCAACCCCAAAAUAAACGAAAAAUCAUGCAUUUUAUUAAAAUUGUUUCUUAUAUGAAAACAAAUAAACAAAAGCGAAUGAAGAAAACAAAACAACAAAAAUAAUGACAUCC